rnacentral:tRNA from 1 species
UCCCCGGUGGUCCAGUGACUAAGACUCUGCACCUCCAAUGCAGGGGUCCUGGGUUUGAUCCCUAGUUGGGGAA